GAUGAACGCUGGCGGCGUGCUUAACACAUGCAAGUCGAACGGAAAGGCUCCUGCUUGCAGGGGUACUCGAGUGGCGAACGAGUGAGUAACACGUGGGUGAUCUGCCCUGCACUUCGGGAUAAGCCUGGGAAACUGGGUCUAAUACCGGAUAGGACGAUGGUUUGGAUGCCAUUGUGGAAAGUUUUUCGGUGUGGGAUGAGCUCGCGGCCUAUCAGCUUGUUGGUGGGGUAAUGGCCUACCAAGGCGUCGACGGGUAGCCGGCCUGAGAGGGUGUACGGCCACAUUGGGACUGAGAUACGGCCCAGACUCCUACGGGAGGCAGCAGUGGGGAAUAUUGCACAAUGGGCGCAAGCCUGAUGCAGCGACGCCGCGUGGGGGAUGACGGCCUUCGGGUUGUAAACUCCUUUCGCUAGGGACGAAGCGCAAGUGACGGUACCUGGAGAAGAAGCACCGGCUAACUACGUG
rnacentral:rRNA from 1 species